rnacentral:rRNA from 1 species
AUUGAACGCUGGCGGCAGGCCUAACACAUGCAAGUCGAGCGAGCGGCGGACGGGUGAGUAAUGUAUGUGGACUGCUCGAUAGAGGUGGAUAACUACAAGAAACGGUAGCUAAUACCGCAUACUAUCGGAUAACCCAUAUGGGAUUAGCGAGUAGGUGAGGUAAUGGCUCACCUAGGCGACGAUCCCUAGCUGGUCUGAGAGGAUGAUCAGCCACACUGGGACUGAGCCACGGCCCAGACUCCUACGGAGGCAGCAGUGGGGAAUAUUGCACAAUGGGCGCAAGCCUGAUGCAGCCAUGCCGCGUGUAUGAAGAAGGCCUUCGGUUUGUAAAGUACUUUCAGCGGGGAGGCGUUACCCGCAGAAGAAGCACCGGCUAACUCCGUGCCAGCAGCCGCGGUAAUAC